rnacentral:rRNA from 1 species
GAUGAACGCUGGCGGCGUGCUUAACACAUGCAAGUCGAACGGAAAGGCCCAAGCUUUCUUGGUUUCUCGAGUGGCGAACGGGUGAGUAACACGUGUGUGAUCUCCCCCUCACUUCGUGAUAAGCCUGGGAAACUGGGUCUAAUACCGGAUAUGAUAUUUGUUUGCAUGCCAUUGUGGAAAGUUUUUUCGUGGUGGGGUGAGCUCUCGGGCUAUCCGCUUUUUGUUGGGGUAAUGGCCUACCAAGGCGUCACCGGGUAGCCGGUCUGUGGGGGUGUACGGCGACACUGGGACUGAGAGAAGGCCCAGAUUGCGAAGGGAGGGAGAAGGGGGGAAUACUGAAGAAGGGGCGCAAGGUGGAUGCAGCGAGGCCGCGUGGGGGAAGACGGCCUUAGGGUUGUAAAAUACAUGCGUAAGGGACGAAGCAUUAUGUGACGGUACCUAGAGAAGAAGCACCGGCUAACUACGUG